AUGGGUACCUGGUUGAUCCUGCCAGUAGUUAUAUGCUUGUCUCAAAGAUUAAGCCAUGCAUGUCUAAGUACAAGCCUUUGUGCAAAGCGAAACUGCGAAUGGCUCAUUAAAUCAGUUAUGGUUCAUUUGAUCGUUGCCUUUGCCCUCGCGGGCCGAGGCUACUUGGAUAACUGUGGCAAUUCUAGAGCUAAUACAUGCGAACCUCGCGGCGCCGCCGCUCGCUCGCGGGCGGCGCGCGCCGCGUGCUUUUAUUAGGAACAAGGCCAGCCUCGUGUGCGUCUUGGCGAACUCUGGAUAACUCUGCCGAUCGCACGGUCACCACUGCACCGGCGACGAAUCAUUCAAGUGUCUGCCCUAUCAACUGUCGAUGGUAGGUUACGCGCCUACCAUGGUUUUAACGGGUGACGGGGAAUCGGGGUUCGAUUCCGGAGAGGGAGCCUGAGAGACGGCUACCACAUCCAAGGAAGGCAGCAGGCGCGCAAAUUACCCAUUCCCGACACGGGGAGGUAGUGACGAAAAAUACCGAUGCGGGACUCUUUCGAGCUUCUCGCAAUCGGAAUGAGCACAGCCUAAAUCCUUUCCGCGAGGAUCUAUUGGAGGGCAAGUCUGGUGCCAGCAGCCGCGGUAAUUCCAGCUCCAAUAGCGUAUACUAAAGUUGUUGCAGUUAAAAAGCUCGUAGUUGGAUCUCGGCGCCGAGCCGGCGGUGGACCCCACCAGUGGCGUCCCACUGCCGUGCGCCAGGGCCGACAGUGGGCGGCGGGACGCGGCGGGGGCGGUCGGUCGGCGGGCGCGCGCGGCGGCCCGCCCGUCCUCGCGGGCCCGCCCGGCCCCGUUCUCCCCGCCCGGCCCGUUCGCUCGUCGGCCGCCUGCUGGCAGCUCGGCGCCUCUCUCUCCGGCUCUCCACUGCCGGUGCUCUUGACCGAGUGUCGGUCGGUGGCCGGAACGUUUACUUUGAGAAAAUUGGAGUGUUCAAAGCGGGCGUUGCCCGGCGUCGCGCGGCCCCGCGUCGCGCGCUCGUCGACUCUGCCGGAACAGUUCAGCAUGGAAUAAUGGAAUAGGACCUCGGUUCUGUUUGCGUUGGUUCUACUUGGGAACGUCGAGGUAAUGAUUGAGAGGGACUGACGGGGGCAUUCGUAUUGCGGCGUCAGAGGUGAAAUUCUUGGAUCGCCGCAAGACGGACUGCUGCGAAAGCGUUUGCCAAGAAUGUUUUCGUUAAUCAAGAACGAAAGUUAGAGGUUCGAAGACGAUCAGAUACCGUCGUAGUUCUAACCGUAAACGAUGCCGACCGGCGAUCCGCCACCGUUCUCUAAUCGCGACAGACUUGGCGGGGAGCCACGCGGGAAACCUCGAGUCUCUGGGUUCCGGGGGAAGUAUGGUUGCAAAGCUGAAACUUAAAGGAAUUGACGGAAGGGCACCACCAGGAGUGGAGCCUGCGGCUUAAUUUGACCCAACACGGGAAAACUCACCCGGCCCGGACACGGCGAGGAUUGACAGAUCGAGAGCUCUUUCUUGAUUCCGUGGGUGGUGGUGCAUGGCCGUUCUUAGUUGGUGGAGCGAUUUGUCUGGUUAAUUCCGAUAACGAACGAGACUCUGGCUUGCUAAAUAGUGGCGGCGACGGUUGUGGCGGACCCGCGGCUGGCGCGCGGCCCGCGCCUCGCCACCGUCCCGCGGCCCCCGGGUCGCGGGCGGCGGCGCGGCCGGACCGUGGCGCGGCGGCGGCCGCCUCGCCCCGUCGACCGUUACCGCGGGGGCCGGCGGCGCCUCGCGGCCCGUCGCCCCGCGGCACUUCUUAGAGGGACAAGUGGCGCUCAGCCACGCGAAAUGGAGCAAUAACAGGUCUGUGAUGCCCUUAGAUGUCCGGGGCCGCACGCGCGCUACACUGAAAGAAUCAACGUGCCAGCUACUUGGCCUGGGCCGACAGGUCCGGGUAACCCGUUGAACCUCUUUCGUGCUUGGGACAGGGAUUUGCAAUUGUCUCCCUCGAACGAGGAAUUCCCAGUAAGCGCGAGU
rnacentral:rRNA from 1 species